CCUACGGGAGGCAGCAGUGGGGAAUAUUGGGCAAUGGGCGCAAGCCUGACCCAGCAACGCCGCGUGAAGGAAGAAGGCUUUCGGUUUGUAAACUUCUUUUCUCAGGGACGAAGAAAGUGACGGUACCUGCGGAAUAAGCCACGGCUAACUCCGCGCCAGCAGCCGCGGUACUACGUAGGUGGCAAGCGUUAUCAGGAUGUAGUGGGUGUAAAGGGCGUUUAGGCGGGGGCGCAAGGCAGAUGGGAAAAGUCAGGGCUCAACCCUGAGCCUGCAUUUGAAACUGUGGUUCUUGAGUGCUGGAGAGGCAAUCGGAAUUCCGUGUGUAGCGGUGAAAUGCGUAGAUAUACGGAGGAACACCAGUGGCGAAGGCGGAUUGCUGGACAGUAACUGACGCUGAGGCGCGAAAGCGUGGGGAGCAAACAGGAUUAGAUACCCGGGUAGUC
rnacentral:rRNA from 1 species